rnacentral:rRNA from 1 species
UAGGGAAUCAUGGUCAAUGGGCGAAAGCCUGAACCUGCGACGCCGCGUGAGUGAUGAAGGUCGUAAGAUCGUAAAACUCUUUUCAGGGAUCUUAAAGCCUGUCUGUCAACAACAGGCAGGUCUGACUCUCCCUGGAAGAAGCCCCAGCCAACUACGUGCCAGCAGCUGCGGUAAUACGUAGGGGGCGAGCGUUAUUCGGAAUUACUGGGUGUAAAGGGUAUGUAGGCGGCCCUUCAAGUCGCGUGUCAAAGUCCAGUGCUCAACGCUGGGUGUGCACGCGGUACUGACGGGCUUGAGGGCUGGAGAGGUGAGCGGAAUUCCCGGUGUAGUGGUAAAAUACGUAGAGAUCGGGAGGAACACCAGCGGCGCAGGCGGCUCACUAGACAGUUUCUGACGCUAAGAUACGAAAGCGUGGGGAGCAAACA